AACGAACGCUGGCGGCAUGCCUAACACAUGCAAGUCGAACGAGAUCUUCGGGUCUAGUGGCGCACGGGUGCGUAACGCGUGGGAAUCUGCCCCUUGGUUCGGAAUAACAGUUGGAAACGACUGCUAAUACCGGAUGAUGACGAAAGUCCAAAGAUUUAUCGCCAGAGGAUGAGCCCGCGUAGGAUUAGCUAGCUGGUGUGGUAAAGGCGCACCAAGGCGACGAUCCUUAGCUGGUCUGAGAGGAUGAUCAGCCACACUGGGACUGAGACACGGCCCAGACUCCUACGGGAGGCAGCAGUGGGGAAUAUUGGACAAUGGGCGAAAGCCUGAUCCAGCAAUGCCGCGUGAGUGAUGAAGGCCUUAGGGUUGUAAAGCUCUUUUACCCGGGAUGAUAAUGACAGUACCGGGAGAAUAAGCUCCGGCUAACUCCGUGCCAGCCGCCGCGCUAA
rnacentral:rRNA from 1 species